UACAGGAGGCAGCAGUGGGGAAUAUUGGGCAAUGGGGGAAACCCUGAUCCAGCGACACCGCGUGAGUGAAGAAAUUCCUCGGGAUGUAAAACUCUGUUGUGUGGGAACAUAAUGACGG
rnacentral:rRNA from 1 species